rnacentral:rRNA from 1 species
GGCCUACGGGUGGCUGCAGUGGGGAAUAUUGGACAAUGGGCGCAAGCCUGAUCCAGCAAUGCCGCGUGUGUGAAGAAGGCCUGCGGGUUGUAAAGCACUUUAAGCAGGAAAGAAGGGCGGGGCGAUAAUACCGUUUCGCAUUGACGUUACCUGCAGAAUAAGCACCGGCUAACUCCGUGCCAGCAGCCGCGGUAAUACGGAGGGUGCGAGCGUUAAUCGGAAUUACUGGGCGUAAAGCGCGCGUAGGCGGUGUGAUUAGUCCGUCGUGAAAGCCCUGGGCUUAACCUGGGAACUGCGGUGGAUACUGUCGGGCUAGAGUGUGGUAGAGGGGAGUGGAAUUUCCGGUGUAGCAGUGAAAUGCGUAGAGAUCGGAAGGAACACCAGUGGCGAAGGCGGCUCCCUGGACCAACACUGACGCUGAGGUGCGAAAGCGUGGGGAGCAAACAGGAUUAGAUACCCCUGUAGUC